ensembl:lncRNA
UCCCAAUCUCUGUGGCAAAUCCUGACUGUGUGAAUGGUUCAGGAUAUGCCAAACUGCUGGAAAAGGAAAUUUGUCUCACGAGGAUUAGAAACGCUGCCAUCUGCAAUACAGACAUUUCUAUCAGCGGAUGUGACCAGGAAAACCUAGUGUUUGUCAGUAAUUGCUUCUAAAAAUAGGCACUGUCUCUUAAAAGUGAAACAGGAGGGUGACAAGGAGCUUUAAAACAAUUCUCGUUAGUGGCAGAGAAUAACCCACAUCUAUAACUGUGUUGUAAGGCCAGCACUGUUGCUGUGGUGGAGGGCGCUAAGCCCCUGGCAGCCCAAAUGCUGCCUUUGUACCUCAGUCCCACGUGGCACCAUGGGUAGGAGGCCCUGACAUACUCCCCCCAGGCUCCAUUUUCUCACAUGAUGGAGAGGAGCUGCAUCAGCAUGGGGCAGGGGAGUGGCACAGGCACAAAAGCUGUUGGGGUGGGAAGGGAAAGGUAGCACGGACCAGGUCAAGGGGCAGGAUUAGACCUUCUGUUCAUCCUGGAGGACAAACCCACACAGCCUUUACCUCCUCCAAGGGGCCUUGCAGACUCUCUUUUGUAAAUGCUAAUCAAGAGAGUAAAUCAGAGCUUGUUGUCAGUGAAGUAACAUGGGAUAGCUUUCUCCUGUCUCUUAGCAAUGGGUCUUCUGUGCUGCCAAGAGACAACUGAUAAUGACUUCUUAAUACACUUGCU